rnacentral:rRNA from 1 species
UACGGGGGGGGCAAGCGUUGUUCGGAAUUACUGGGCGUAAAGGGCUCGUAGGCGGCCAACUAAGUCAGACGUGAAAUCCCUCGGCUUAACCGGGGAACUGCGUCUGAUACUGGAUGGCUAGAGUUUGGGAGAGGGAUGCGGAAUUCCAGGUGUAGCGGUGAAAUGCGUAGAUAUCCGGAGGAACACCGGUGGCGAAGGCGGCUUCCUGGACCGACACUGACGCUGAGGCGCGAAAGCUAGGGGAGCAAACGGG